rnacentral:rRNA from 2 species
GCUGGCGGCGUGCCUAAUACAUGCAAGUCGAGCGAACAGAUAAGGAGCUUGCUCCUUUGACGUUAGCGGCGGACGGGUGAGUAACACGUGGGUAACCUACCUAUAAGACUGGAAUAACUCCGGGAAACCGGGGCUAAUGCCGGAUAACAUUUAGAACCGCAUGGUUCUAAAGUGAAAGAUGGUUUUGCUAUCACUUAUAGAUGGACCCGCGCCGUAUUAGCUAGUUGGUAAGGUAACGGCUUACCAAGGCAACGAUACGUAGCCGACCUGAGAGGGUGAUCGGCCACACUGGAACUGAGACACGGUCCAGACUCCUACGGGAGGCAGCAGUAGGGAAUCUUCCGCAAUGGGCGAAAGCCUGACGGAGCAACGCCGCGUGAGUGAUGAAGGUCUUCGGAUCGUAAAACUCUGUUAUUAGGGAAGAACAAAUGUGUAAGUAACUGUGCACGUCUUG